CAACUGCAAGAGCUUGAGGAAAUAAGACGAGAUGCAUAUGAAAACUCUUGGAACUACAAAGAAAGCUACGGUCUAGGUGGAUUGGACCAUUCAUUGUAGAACAUGCCUACCCACAUGGAGCUGUAGACAUUCGCAACAUAGAGACCGGAAAAAUAUUCAAGGUAAAUGGGCAUCGCCUGAAGCCAUACUUUGAAGGAUUCGCAGUACAAGUGGUGGAAGAAAUUCCACUACAACAACAUUCUGCCUAAGAGGAUCACGCCAUGCACCUACACCCCAGGGGAGUAUUCAGAUUCUUUUGUUCUCUUCUUUUCUUUUACAUUGAGGACAAUGCAUGAUUUAAGUGUGGGGGUGCAUAUCUCUUCUUCU